rnacentral:rRNA from 1 species
ACUCAAAUGAAUUGACGGGGGCCCGCACAAGCGGUGGAGCAUGUGGUUCAAUUCGACGCAACGCGAAGAACCUUACCUGGGCUUGAACCGUAGGUUAACGGCGGUGGAAACACCGCUACCCCGCAAGGGGGUCCUAUAGAGGUGCUGCAUGGCUGUCGUCAGCUCGUGUCGUGAGAUGUUGGGUUAAGUCCCGCAACGAGCGCAACCCUUGUCCUGUGUUGCCAUCAUUUAGUUGGGAACUCGCAGGAGACCGCCAGCGAUAAGUUGGAGGAAGGUGGGGAUGACGUCAAGUCCUCAUGGCCUUUAUGUCCAGGGCUACACACGUGCUACAAUGGCCGGUACAAAGCGUCCCGAACCCGCGAGGGGAAGGCAAUCGCAAAAAACCGGUCUCAGUUCGGAUUGCAGGCUGCAACUCGCCUGCAUGAAGCUGGAAUCGCUAGUAAUGGCAGAUCAGCACGCUGCCGUGAAUACGUUCCCGGGCCUUGUACACACCGCCCGU